rnacentral:rRNA from 1 species
CCUACGGGAGGCAGCAGUGGGGAAUAUUGCACAAUGGGGGAAACCCUGAUGCAGCGACGCCGCGUGAGUGAAGAAGUAUUUCGGUAUGUAAAGCUCUAUCAGCAGGGAAGAAGAAAGACGGUACCUGACUAAGAAGCCCCGGCUAACUACGUGCCAGCAGGCGCGGUAAUACGUAGGGGGCAAGCGUUAUCCGGAUUUACUGGGUGUAAGGGGAGCGUAGACGGGUGUGCAAGUCUGAAGUGAAAGCCCAGGGCUCAACCCUGGGACUGCCUUGGAACCUGUGGAGCUAGAGUGCUGGAGAGGUAAGUGGAAUUCCUGGUGUAGCGGUGAAAUGCGUAGAUAUUAGGAGGAACACCAGUGGCGAAGGCGGCUUACUGGACAGUAACUGACGUUGAGGCUCGAAAGCGUGGGGAGCAAACAGGAUUAGAUACCCCAGUAGUC